rnacentral:rRNA from 1 species
CGUAGGUGGUGAGCGUUAUCCGGAAUUACUGGGCGUAAAGCGCAAGCAGGCGGCGAUUUAAGUCUGACGUGAAAUCUCCUGGCUUAACUGGGAGAGGUCGUUGGAAACUGGAUUGCUUGAGGUGGUGAGAGGGGUGUGGAAUUCCCGGUGUAGUGGUGGAAUGCGUAGAUAUCGGGAGGAACACCAGAGGCGAAAGCGACACCCUGGCACUUGCCUGACGCUGAGAUGCGAAAGCGUGGGGAGCAAACGGGAUUAGAUACCCCGGUAGUCCACGCCGUAAACGAUGAAUACUGGGUGUAGGGGGGGUUAGAUCCCUCUGUGCCGAAGCAAACGCGAUAAGUAUUCCGCCUGGGGAGUACGGCCGCAAGGCUA